rnacentral:tmRNA from 2 species
GGGGGUGAACGGUCUCGACUUUGGUUGUUGAGGCAGGGGAAGCGGGCCGAGGAAGCCAGGAUGAUCUCGUUAACCAAUAACCUGUGCAAAAAAUAAUCGUCAGUACAACUGCCGAUGAUCUCACUCUUGCUGCCUAAGCAAGCUCUGUGAUCCGUUAACCCAGACUCGCCUUCGAUCUGGGACCUAACGCCGACAGAAGGCUUUUCACGGUUGUGGCGUUGCGAACGCGACCGGAGAACAGUUUCGCAAAUGAGUUUGUCGAAUACUUGUGUGCAAGAGAUUCGGAACUGAGAAAACGAUAGCCACACUACGCCCGUAGAAGCCCUGUUUUAAUUCCGAAGGACCCGGGUUCGAUUCCCGGCACCUCCACCA